UACGAAGGGGGCUAGCGUUGCUCGGAAUCACUGGGCGUAAAGCGCACGUAGGCGGAUUGCUAAGUCAGGGGUGAAAUCCUGGAGCUCAACUCCAGAACUGCCCUUGAUACUGGCGGUCUCGAGUCCGGGAGAGGUGAGUGGAACUGCGAGUGUAGAGGUGAAAUUCGUAGAUAUUCGCAAGAACACCAGUGGCGAAGGCGGCUCACUGGCCCGAUACUGACGCUGAGGCACGAAGGUCAGGGGAGCAAACGGG
rnacentral:rRNA from 1 species